GGAUGGAACCCGGAAAACGGGCAGCGGCCAGACAAGACAAAUAAGUGGCCAAAGUCACAGCUGCAUAAUGGAACCGAGGUGUCAGGGACGGCGAAGGGGCCAAACUGCUCGCAGGCAGGGAAGGGAAGAUGUGCGGAAACAGCAACUGCAGCAAACCCCUCGAGUCCCAGCUGGAUAAACUGAGGCCCGAAGAGAUCCAGUCCCUUCCCACCCGGCGGCCUCCGUCCCCAGAGAACAAAGCGCUGGGGCGGCCUCACCUUGUUGUAGAAGACCUCGGGCUGCUGGUUGGGGGCCGGCACGGCCGGGGUGGCGGCGGCCGACAGCAGCCGGCGGCCCUGGCAGGGCCGGGCGGCGGCGAGCACAACUGCGCGCAACAUGCCGAGGCUCGCACUGGAGUGCCGAGCGGAGCCCUGGCGGCUUGAACUGGAAGGACGGCCGGGCGGGCAGCCCCGUGCGCGACCUCUCCCCGUCCCCGGCGCGGCCGCCAAUGGGCAGGCGCGCGGCGGGGCCCUGGGGCGUACCCGCGCCUUCCCCGCCCCAGGCGGAGCUGCGCCUCGGCUGCUCGCCGCCAAUACGCGCGCGCGCCCGCGAAGGGGCGGGUGGGGCUCGAAGGUUGGUCCUCCUGCGCGUGGCGCGCCGUGGGUGUAGCGUGUCAGGAUCUGGCGAGUUCACCGCACGUUGGCUGAACCCCUACUGUGUGCCUGAACCCUUAAUGUGUACAGGCAAGAACCGAAGCGACCCUGGCCCUGACUUCAGGGGGCUUACACUCUAGUGGGAGAGGCCAACCUUAAACCAAACACGAGGUACCGCAGAGGGGAGAGAUGCGGAACACUUUGACGUGAAUAAAUGUUGUCCUCCCACAGUACUGAGAUCAUUGGGAGAAGCACCGAGGUGGAAGCAGUGCUGAGUGACUCCCGAGACGAGGACAGAAAAGGUGAUCAGCUCCCGCCUGGCCCUCUCCCCUCAGAACACACACCUUUGCAGCCCUGAGCCACCA